rnacentral:rRNA from 1 species
AACGAACGCUGGCGGCAUGCCUAACACAUGCAAGUCGAACGAGACCUUCGGGUCUAGUGGCGCACGGGUGCGUAACGCGUGGGAACCUGCCCUUAGGUUCGGAAUAACUCCCCGAAAGGGGUGCUAAUACCGGAUAAUGUCUUCGGACCAAAGAUUUAUCGCCUUUGGAUGGGCCCGCGUUGGAUUAGCUAGUUGGUAGGGUAAAAGCCUACCAAGGCGACGAUCCAUAGCUGGUCUGAGAGGAUGAUCAGCCACACUGGGACUGAGACACGGCCCAGACUCCUACGGGAGGCAGCAGUGGGGAAUAUUGGACAAUGGGCGAAAGCCUGAUCCAGCAAUGCCGCGCGAGUGAUGAAGGCCUUAGGGUUGUAAAGCUCUUUUACCCGGGAUGAUAAUGACAGUACCGGGAGAAUAAGCUCCGGCUAACUCCGU